rnacentral:rRNA from 1 species
CUCUAUGGCCAUCCCACCCUGGACAUGCCUGAUCACCUCUGAUUUUAAAGGCUAACCAGGGUCAGGCCUGGUGAGUAGUUGGCGGGGAGACCUCUCUUGGGAAUACUAGAGGCUGUAGCUC